AACCACGGCCAUACUACCCUGAACACGCCGGAUCUUGUCUGAUCUCAGAAACAAGCAGGAUUGGGCCCGGUUAGUACUUGGAUAGGAGACCGCCCAGAAAUACCAGGUGCUGUAGGCU
rnacentral:rRNA from 1 species